rnacentral:rRNA from 1 species
GACGAACGCUGGCGGCGUGCUUAACACAUGCAAGUCGUACGGUAAGGCCCUUUCGGGGGUUCACGAGUGGCGAACGGGUGAGUAACACGUGAGUAACCUGCCCACAACUUUGGGAUAACGCUAGGAAACUGGUGCUAAUACUGGAUAUGUGCUCCUGCUGCAUGGUGGGGGUUGGAAAGCUCCGGGGGUUGUGGAUGGACUCGCGGCCUAUCAGCUUGUUGGUGGGGUAGUGGCCUACCAAGGCGGCGACGGGUAGCCGGCCUGAUAGGGUGACCGGCCACAUUGGGACUGAGAUACGGCCCAGACUCCUACGGGAGGGAGCAGUGGGGAAUAUUGCACAAUGGGCGCAAGCCUGAUGCAGCCACGCCGCGUGCGGGAUGACGGCCUUCGGGUUGGAAACCGCUUUCAGCAGGGACGAAGCUUUUUGUGACGGUACCUGCAGAAGAAGCACCGGCUAACUACGUG